GACGAACGCUGGCGGCGUGCCUAAUACAUGCAAGUCGAACGAACCGCGACUAGGUGCUUGCACUUGGUCAAGGUGAGUGGCGAACGGGUGAGUAACACGUGGGUAACCUACCUCAUAGUGGGGGAUAACAGUCGGAAACGACUGCUAAUACCGCAUAGGACAUAGGAUCACAUGAUCCAGUGAGGAAAGGUGGCGCAAGCUAUCGCUAAGAGAUGGACCCGCGGUGCAUUAGCUAGUUGGUAGGGUAAAGGCCUACCAAGGCGAUGAUGCAUAGCCGACCAGAGAGGGUGAUCGGCCACAUUGGGACUGAGACACGGCCCAAACUCCUACGGGAGGCAGCAGUGGGGAAUCUUCCGCAAUGGACGCAAGUCUGACGGAGCAACGCCGCGUGAGUGAAGAAGGUCUUCGGAUCGUAAAGCUCUGUUGUUAGAGAAGAACAGCGCAUAGAGUAACUGUUAUGCGUGUGACGGUAUCUAACCAGAAAGCCACGGCUAACUACGUG
rnacentral:rRNA from 1 species